rnacentral:rRNA from 1 species
GAUGAACGCUGGCGGCGUGCCUAAUACAUGCAAGUCGAGCGAAUGGAUUAAGAGCUUGCUCUUAUGAAGUUAGCGGCGGACGGGUGAGUAACACGUGGGUAACCUGCCCAUAAGACUGGGAUAACUCCGGGAAACCGGGGCUAAUACCGGAUAACAUUUUGAACCGCAUGGUUCGAAAUUGAAAGGCGGCUUCGGCUGUCACUUAUGGAUGGACCCGGGUCGCAUUAGCUAGUUGGUGAGGUAACGGCUCACCAAGGCAACGAUGCGUAGCCGACCUGAGAGGGUGAUCGGCCACACUGGGACUGAGACACGGCCCAGACUCCUACGGGAGGCAGCAGUAGGGAAUCUUCCGCAGUGGACGAAAGUCUGACGGAGCAACGCCGCGUGAGUGAUGAAGGCUUUCGGGUCGUAAAACUCUGUUGUUAGGGAGGAACAAGUGCUAGUUGAAUAAGCUGGCACCUUGACGGUACCUAACCAGAAAGCCACGGCUAACUACGUGCCAGCCGCCGCGGUAA